CCCCCCGCGAGGAGCCCCUGCCUUUUUUUUACACCAAACCCGAAAAAUUAUACCGCGCCGAGACCGUGUAGAUUGACAGUAUUAAGAUUUUUUUUUCUAUCUUGUUUGGGGGGGUGGGGGGGCAUGGCCGUUGUGGGGAGGUGGAUCGAUUUGUAUGGUAAAUUCCGAUAAACAAUGAAACUCUAGAAAGCUCAAUAUACUACAGAUCCCCAUCGUCAAAUGAAAAUAUUGCUUACUAAAGGGGCUGGUGGUUUCCAGUUUUUGACAAUGAAAAAUAUGAGGUCUGUUUUGCUUUUCGAGGUCCGGGGCCGCCCGCUCUUUCAUAUAAGGAAUCUCCUUGUUUUCCACUAUGGGUGGGAGGCCUGGGAAAUCCGAUGUAAUUCCUUGAUGUUUGGGAUUGAGAUUUGUCUUUAUGGAAGAAGAAUGAGGAAUUUCCGAAAGCCGGGUUAAAAGCGGGUGGGGGGAAAAAAAAAAAAAAACACCCCCCCCCCCCUUUUUUUUUUUCUCCCCCCCCCUUUU
rnacentral:rRNA from 1 species